rnacentral:rRNA from 1 species
GAUCAUGGCUCAGGAUGAACGCUGGCGGCGCGCCUAACACAUGCAAGUCGAACGGCACCUGCCCUCGGGCAGAAGCGAGUGGCGAACGGCUGAGUAACACGUGGAGAACCUGCCCCCUCCCCCGGGAUAGCCGCCCGAAAGGACGGGUAAUACCGGAUACCCCGGGGUGCCGCAUGGCACCCCGGCUAAAGCCCCGACGGGAGGGGAUGGCUCCGCGGCCCAUCAGGUAGACGGCGGGGUNACGGCCCACCGUGCCGACAACGGGGUUAGCCCGGGG